rnacentral:lncRNA from 1 species
GUUCAUUUGAGCAAUAUGAGAUGGAACGGAGUUCCAUGCAAUAAUGGCUCUAUAUACUCCUGUAUACUUUCUUGAAUUUGUUCUGGAUUUGGGGACUGUGAAAAGACCCGAAGUUGCAUGUCUGGUGGGCUGUUCAAAUGCUUUGAUGGAUGUAGAGUGGAAGACAGAUCCAACUCAGAUUUCCUCUGAGAAAUACAGCUCAGAAGACAAGAGCUCAGUGGAGGUUCCAGUGCUCCCGGUUUUGACCUUUGCCUGUUGCUGGACUCUGAACUCGCCUGCCUGACCAGUCUGCCUGCCUUGACCACGAGCCUGUCUGCCACUCUGUACCUCCUGGACUCUGAUCUGGUUUUGACCUUUUGCCUGUCCAUGACCAUUCUCUU